GAUGAACGCUGGCGGCGUGCCUAAUACAUGCCAGUCGAGCGAACAGAUAAGGAGCUUGCUCCUUUGACGUUAGCGGCGGACGGGUGAGUAACACGUGGGUAACCUACCUAUAAGACUGGGAUAACUUCGGGAAACCGGAGCUAAUACCGGAUAACAUUUGGAACCGCAUGGUUCUAAAGUGAAAGAUGGUUUUGCUAUCACUUAUAGAUGGACCCGCGCCGUAUUAGCUAGUUGGUAAGGUAACGGCUUACCAAGGCGACGAUACGUAGCCGACCUGAGAGGGUGAUCGGCCACACUGGAACUGAGACACGGUCCAGACUCCUACGGGAGGCAGCAGUAGGGAAUCUUCCGCAAUGGGCGAAAGCCUGACGGAGCAACGCCGCGUGAGUGAUGAAGGGUUUCGGCUCGUAAAACUCUGUUAUUAGGGAAGAACAACUGUGUAAGUAACUGUGCACGUCUUGACGGUACCUAAUCAGAAAGCCACGGCUAACUACGUG
rnacentral:rRNA from 1 species